rnacentral:rRNA from 1 species
AUUGAACGCUGGCGGCAGGCCUAACACAUGCAAGUCGAGCGGAUGAAGGGAGCUUGCUCCUGGAUUCAGCGGCGGACGGGUGAGUAAUGCCUAGGAAUCUGCCUGGUAGUGGGGGACAACGUUUCGAAAGGGACGCUAAUACCGCAUACGUCCUACGGGAGAAAGCAGGGGACCUUCGGGCCUUGCGCUAUCAGAUGAGCCUAGGUCGGAUUAGCUAGUUGGUGAGGUAAUGGCUCACCAAGGCGACGAUCCGUAACUGGUCUGAGAGGAUGAUCAGUCACACUGGAACUGAGACACGGUCCAGACUCCUACGGGAGGCAGCAGUGGGGAAUAUUGGACAAUGGGCGAAAGCCUGAUCCAGCCAUGCCGCGUGUGUGAAGAAGGUCUUCGGAUUGUAAAGCACUUUAAGUUGGGAGGAAGGGUUGUAGAUUAAUACUCUGCAAUUUUGACGUUACCGACAGAAUAAGCACCGGCUAACUCUGUGCCAGCCGCCGCCGUAAGAC